UACGUAGGGUGCAAGCGUUGUCCGGAAUUAUUGGGCGUAAAGAGCUCGUAGGCGGUCUGUCGCGUCGGCUGUGAAAACCCGAGGCUCAACCUCGGGCCUGCAGUCGAUACGGGCAAACUAGAGUACUGCAGGGGAGACUGGAAUUCCCGGUGUAGUGGUGGAAUGCGUAGAUAUCGGGAGGAACACCAGUGGCGAAGGCGGUUACCUGGAGCUUUGCUGACGCUGAUGCGCGAAAGCGUGGGGAGCGAUCCGG
rnacentral:rRNA from 1 species